rnacentral:snRNA from 1 species
AUAUUUACCUGGCAAGUGAAAUACCUUGAUCAUGAAAGUGGUUUUCCCAGGGUGAGUCUUAUACAUUGCACUCCAGAUGUAUUGACCCCUGCAAUUUCACUAAAUGUGGGAAACUUGACUGUAUAAUUUGUGGUAGUAGGGGACUGCGUUCAUGCUCUCCCCUG